AUUGAACGCUGGCGGCAUGCCUUACACAUGCAAGUCGAACGGCAGCACGGGUGCUUGCACCUGGUGGCGAGUGGCGAACGGGUGAGUAAUACAUCGGAACAUGUCCUGUAGUGGGGGAUAGCCCAGCGAAAGCCGGAUUAAUACCGCAUACGAUCUACGGAUGAAAGCGGGGGACCUUCGGGCCUCGCGCUAUAGGGUUGGCCGAUGGCUGAUUAGCUAGUUGGUGGGGUAAAGGCCUACCAAGGCGACGAUCAGUAGCUGGUCUGAGAGGACGACCAGCCACACUGGGACUGAGACUCGGCCCAGACUCCUACGGGAGGCAGCAGUGGGGAAUUUUGGACAAUGGGCGAAAGCCUGAUCCAGCAAUGCCGCGUGUGUGAAGAAGGCCUUCGGGUUGUAAAGCACUUUUGUCCGGAAAGAAAUCCUUGGCCCUAAUACGGUCGGGGGAUGACGGUACCGGAAGAAUAAGCACCGGCUAACUACGUG
rnacentral:rRNA from 1 species